UGGAAGACUAGUGAUUUUGUUGUUGUGUGUCAUUGCAAACAACAGUAAAUCACAGUCUUCCUUA
rnacentral:pre_miRNA from 1 species